rnacentral:snRNA from 1 species
AUAAUUGGUGGACAAUAUGUGG